ACCCAUCUCUGCUACACACCAUAUAUUGAGUUCCCCAAAACUCGUCCAUCCAAUAACACCAUUUGUGGACAAACAAGCCAUCACAUACAUGCCGAUAAAUGGCCACAUACCACAUUGUGGACAAACCACCACAUAUUUGCCGAUAAUAGCCAUAUAAUCGCAGAUAAACUGCCACAUAACUUCCAACUUUCACAAAACCCCAC
rnacentral:lncRNA from 1 species